GAGGGGAACAACAGCUGGAAACGGCUGCUAAUACCCCAUAGGCUGAGGAGCAAAAGGAGGAAUCCGCCCAAGGAGGGGCUCGCGUCUGAUUAGUUAGUUGGUGAGGCAAUGGCUUACCAAGGCGACGAUCAGUAGCUGGUCCGAGAGGAUGAUCAGCCACACUGGGACUGAGACACGGCCCAGACUCCUACGGGAGGCAGCAGUGGGGAAUUUUCCGCAAUGGGCGAAAGCCUGACGGAGCAAUGCCGCGUGAAGGCAGAAGGCCCACGGGUCAUGAACUUCUUUUCUCGGA
rnacentral:rRNA from 1 species